rnacentral:lncRNA from 1 species
AUGCAGCCUGUCCAGCUGUGUCUUGAUUUUGGAACCAUGAACCUCAGAGCUGCUCUGGUGGAGAGCAUCAUGCUCAGCUCCUCCUGGAGCAUCUCCCUGCUUCUCCCAGCUGCCACCCUCUCCAUCUCCAUCUGAAGAAUGAAACAGAUUUGGCCUCAUUCUCUGAUCUUGUGAAAGCUCACUCUGUGAAAUCACUGUCUUAAGGGGGUGGACUGUACAUGAGCCCAAGGCUAGCCCCUUGGCCCAGCCCUUCCCUGCACCUGGCUGCAGAAACUUCUAGAAGUAUAGUCAACCUCGGGGGCUUCAAGAAAGGAGGCUGAGCCAAGGUCACAGGCAGGAGGUGGACUGGCCAACAGGAAAAUGGAGAGAACAAUGGUCUCCAUGUUCCACCGGGGCAAGAGCU